rnacentral:rRNA from 1 species
AUUGAACGCUGGCGGCAGGCCUAACACAUGCAAGUCGAACGCGUGGCGGACGGGUGAGUAAUGUCUGGGAAACUGCCUGAUGGAGGGGGAUAACUAAUGGAAACGGUAGCUAAUACCGCAUACCCUCAGAUGUGCCCAGAUGGGAUUAGCUUGUUGUUGGGGUAACGGCUCACCAAGGCGACGAGCCCUAGCUGGUCUGAGAGGAUGACCAGCCACACUGGAACUGAGACACGGUCCAGACUCCUACGGGAGGCAGCAGUGGGGAAUAUUGCACAAUGGGCGAAAGCCUGAUGCAGCCAUGCCGCGUGUAUGAAGAAGGCCUUCGGGUUGUAAAGUACGUUCAGCGGGGAGGCGUUACCCGCAGAAGAAGCACCGGCUAACUCCGUGCCAGCCGCCGCGGUAAUUC